UACGAAGGGGGCUAGCGUUGCUCGGAAUUACUGGGCGUAAAGGGCUCGUAGGCGGCCAACUAAGUCGGACGUGAAAUCCCUCAGCUUAACUGGGGAACUGCGUCCGAUACUGGAUGGCUUGGAUUUGGGAGAGGGAUGCGGAAUUCCAGGUGUAGCGGUGAAAUGCGCAGAUAUCAGGAGGAACACCGGUGGCGAAGGCGGUUCUCUGGGCAUUACCUGACGCUGAGGAGCGAAAGUGUGGGGAGCGAACAGG
rnacentral:rRNA from 1 species